GAGGGAGCAACAGCAAGAAAAACCAAGCUAUGGCUGCACAUCUGGUCCCAGGGCUUGGCUGGGAGGAAACCCCCAUCUUGGGUCUGCUGUUCCGUGCACGGUGCCCUGGGCUCCCUCUGCUCGGGGAGCCAGAAGUGACUCACAGUUUUGGUAUCUCCUACGUAAGAGCUUUGGGGGGAUUCCUUGGCUUGCUGACAGGAGAGGAAGAAAGCAGCAGCAGUGAGGUAAAACACGAUUACUUCCAACUGCCUGGCGGAGGACACGCAGUCGCUUGGCUUGCCUGGAACAGCUUGCAGCUCUGUGAUGGCACGCGGAGGGAGAAUAAUUAAAAAGGCCAGCAUCACUUACUAAGAAGCUGCUGCAAUGCUACGGAAAAAUGCUGGGAAAAGGAGGCUGAGGAAAUUCAGUUUUCUGAUGACUGGGCGCUAGGCAAAAUGUGCCAGGUGACUAUCUUUGCCAUUUGGACCGCCAAGUGGGAGCAAAUUUGGGAUUCCUAUUCCAUUGUCACCCAGCUGUGGCUUGAUACCUCAGUACAUUGCAAGUUUCCUGAGCAGGAGACAUGCACCAUGCAGAAGUGUGCCUUGGAGACUCAAAGGAGGAGAGAUUAAGCCAGUUAACUCUUCAUUGCAAGUAAGUAGGAAAAAGAAAAAUAAAGAUAGAAAUCCCCAGAAAAGAGAGAUCCUGCCUUUAGUUUUGAAAAAAGCUUUUCCACGGCAUCUGAAAUAACUUCAACUGGAAAAGUCAUAUCCAAUUGAACUGAUGAGCCACAAAAGCUGAUAUAAGAGGUAACUUCAUCAGAAGAUCCUCCUUGCAAAAGAUCUGGAACUGUAUUUAAUCUGCCAAGGUGGUGCUAGUGGUAAAGAAACUGACUGCCAAUGAAGGAGAUGCAAGAGACGCGAGUUUGAUUCCUGGGUCGAGAAGAUCCCCUGGAGGAGGAAAUUUGAAGCCAGAACCAUAUUCUUCCUGGGAAAGAUUUUAUACUUUCUUACAUGUAGGUGAGUAUGUUUACUAAUAACAUAUGAUGCUUUAAAAAUGCAUUUAAAGGUUACACAUUCUUUCGCAAUUUGCUUUCUUUACUCAACAUUUGUUUCUGAGCUUUUUCUAUGUUGAAAUUAUAGAUCUAAUUCUUUGAUUUUAAUUAUUUUAUUAUAGUAAGUAGACCACAAUGGAUCCAAGCAUUCUUCUUUGGGUGGAUGUUUAGUUUGCAGACCAUUUUUCACUACCACAAG